AUAAAAGAGUAAGGAAAAUAAGGAAAGGAAAAGGAAAUUAAAAUAAAAGGAAAACAAAAACUACUAAAAUCCAAAUCCCACGAAACAAUAAUACACUACAACGAAUAUAAGCUUUAGUGGCGUUUAUAUAGUGGCAUUUAUCACAAAUGCCACCUAAGCCCGUGAGUAGCAAUCCAAAAGAAUAGCUUUGGACGACAUUUGUAAAAAAAAAAACGCUGCUGGAGCCCAAAUUUCAGUUCGCGGGCUUGUAAACCUUGUGGUGCCCGAAUUAAUUUUUCACUCCAAAAAUAAAAGUUCCAAAAUUUUGUUUCUCACUCUCUCCGUCUCACUCACACUGUUUGCUGGUUCAGGGUUUGGGUACUUGUGGUCUACUAUUGGAAUUUUGAAGGUGGAGGAAACUACUUAUUUUGUAGAUAACAAGUUUUGGAAGAAAGUUAGUUUGUAGAUUAAGAGUGUUACUUACAGCAAGAUUCUCAAUGUAUAUUCACAUCCUUUAUCAUUUUAAUAUUGAUAAAUUCUAUAGUUUGUUGUUAUUUGAGAUAUGCUAAUGUGUAAAUCAAUAUUUGAUAGAUUUGUUUUGCAUUGUGUUUAUAAAUUUGCAUUUAACUUUAUAUAGGAAAAAAUUGUAUACAUUUACUCAAAGUGUACAUUAUAUAAUGCAGGUUAUAUGAGUGCUAGCUUUGUUUUAGUUGAUGGUUGCAAAUAUUUGAGUGUGUAUUCUAUGAAUAUAUGAAAAUUUUGUAGUUUGUCUAAUCUUUUUCCAUCUAUGUGUUGUUGCCUUUCCUGUG